rnacentral:tRNA from 1 species
UAGUUCAGUGGUAGAAUCCUUGUCUAUCACACAGGAGACCUGGGUUCAAUUCCCAG